AAUGUUCAUCUUCAGCUCUCCGAAGGAUGCUGGGCAGCAGGAGAAUGGAGCUGGAUGCCGUCUUUAUUCCCGAGUCAGAGACGAGACUGGCCUCACACUCAGAGAUCUGCCUGCCUCUGCCUCCCAAGUGCUAGAAUUCAGGCAUGUGUGCCACCAUCUCCAAAAUCUGUGGGAAAAGUCAACUACCAUUUUGAGAAGCCAUGAUGGACUAUGGAAAGAACAUACGGUGAGAAACUGAGGUCUGCCGGCCACCACAGUGGUCCUGGGGACAGGUCUAUCUCAGUCUAACUGCAGGCCUAAGGCACAUUGACUGUAACCACAGGAGAGACCUUGUACCCAAGAGAUCAGGAUAAUCCCCUUCAGAGAAACAAGUGUUUGUUGUUGAAGUUGCUGCUUUGGGGGACAAUUUGCUAUGCAACAGUUACACAGCAAGUGUGCUCCAUCAUUGAGUAGCUGGGAGAACAAGGACUUGAAGGAAGCCACGGCUCUUGUCAGCACUCUUUCUAGGAUAUAAAACUUCAACUUCUUCUUCCUCCUUCUCCUCCUUUGUUUAUUUAUUAUUAUAAAUAUAUAUAUAUUUUUUGAGACAGGGUUUUUCUGUAUAGCCCUGGCUGUCCUGGAACUCACUCUGUAGACCAGGCUGGCCUCGAACUUAGAAAUCCGCCUGCCUCUGCCUCCUGAGUGCUGGGAUUAAAGGCAUGCGCCACCACUCCCGGCUUCGUUUAUUUAUUUUAUAUAAGUACAUUGUCUUCAGAUACCAGAAGAGGGCAUUAGUUUCUAUUACGGAUGGUUGUGAGUCCCCAUGUGGCUGCUGGCAAUUGAACUCAGGACCUUUGGAAGAGCAGUCAGUGCUCUUAACCACUGAGCCAUCUCACCAGCAACACUGCCCCCUCCCCCGCCCCAACAAGUAUCUUUCUUACUAAUCAAUAAUAACCAUGUGAGUAAAAGGCUCACUUUGUUUAUUACGAGAAGGCUAUCCUAAAUUUUUAUACCACUCAGGCUACCUUCAAACUCAUGGGAAUCCUCCUGUCUCAACUUUCCAAGUGCUGGGACUGUAGGUGUAAGCCAUCACAACACAUCACAGGUUCUCUUCCUGCACAGAGGGAAUUUUUUUUUUGAGACUUCAUUUUUAUUUCAUGUGCAUGGAUGUUUUUGCCUAACUGUGUCUAUGCACCGCAAGCAUGCACUACCCACUGAGGCCAUGGGAAAGCAUUGGAUCCUCUGGAACUGGAUUUACAGGCAGCUGUGAGCUGCCAUGUGGGUGUGGGGAACCAAAUCCAGGUCUUCUGGAAGAACAGUCAGUGCUCUUAACCACUGAGACAUCUCGUACAGCCCCAAACAGAACAAAUUUUAUUAAGGUUUAGCUAGCUUUUGUAAAAACAAAUCUUACCCUACUUUUUUUUUUAGCAAGAAUAUUUUACUAAGGAAAUUUAUUUCAAAAAUACUGCACAUUUUAAAUCUUUUAGAAAACACUUUCUUAAAAUUGCUUAGAGGUGGCAGGGCAGUGGUGGCGCACACCUUUAAUCCCAGCACUUGGGAGGCAGAGGCAGGCAGAUUUCUGAGUUCAAGACCAGCCUGGUCUACAGAGUGAGUUCCAGGACAGCCAGGGAAACCCUGUCUCGAAAAAAAAAAAAAGUUUUUUUGCUUAGAGUGCUGCUCCACUGUCAAGAGUGGCUGUCAACCACACACCCUAGCUGUGAUCCCAAACAACUCUAUAAACCAAGCAUGACAUGGUUGGUGCUUUCCUGGAAGCCCAGCACUUGGGAAGCAAAUUCAAGAUCAAAAAUUGAAGACAUCCCUAACAUGUGGAUGUACACAAGGGUGCUACCCUUGGGCACGUGCUCUUGGGUUCUCUAAGAAAGCAGGCUGAGAAAGCCAUGAGGAGCAACUGUAUCUUCUGCUUCAGUUCCUGCCCCCAGGUUCCUGCCCUACCUUGAGUUCCUGCUUUGACUUCUCUCAGUGAUGACCCAUCGCCAGGAAGUGUUAGAUGAAAUAAAGUUUUUCUUCCCC
ensembl:lincRNA Gm26562 predicted gene, 26562